rnacentral:misc_RNA from 1 species
CAGGAGUUAUCUUCAGUACUCGGGCUGCAUGCGCCUAGGGCUGCCUUCCCUAGGUGCCCUGUGCGUGGCACGUGUGACUGACACCCGCGCCGUCCAGGUGCCUGAGGUGGCCGGCUCACUCAAUGCUGAUGAUGCAUUCGUUUUGGAAACACCAGGAAAAACUUGCCUCUGGAUUGGCAAGGGAGCAAGUGAAGAGGAAAAGGCUAUGGCCGAGAAGGUUGCAGAGCUGGUAUCUCCUGGUCGUGACCUGCAGGUUGUGGCUGAAGGGGAGGAAAGCGAUGACUUCUGGGCUGGUCUCGGUGGUAAAGGUGAAUACCAAAAUGUUCGCGAGCUAGACAGACCUCUGUUGUAUCCCAGACUCUUCCACUGCACCAUCUCUCCUGUUGGCUGCCUCAGAGUUAAUGAGGUGUCUUAACUUCUCCCAGGAAGACCUGAAUUAGGAUGAUGUUAUGGUUCUGGACUCUGGCGAUGAAAUUUACGUUUGGGUUGGACAAGGUUCCGAUGACCAGGAGAAAGAGAGCCUUUGCUAUGGCAGAGAACUACGUUAAGACUGAUCCGACAGAACGUACCCUGGACUCGACUGUGAUCCUACGUGUGACGCAGGUAGAGGAACCGGCUGCCUUCACUGCCAUCUUUCCUGCAUGGAACCCCGACAUGUGGCAGUUACUGGAUGCCAGUUCCCUGCCGUCGAUUUCACUUUGCUCCUGUUCUAAAAGAUGUAGCCGA